UACGAAGGGGGCUAGCGUUGCUCGGAAUCACUGGGCGUAAAGGGUGCGUAGGCGGGCCUUUAAGUCAGGGGUGAAAUCCUGGAGCUCAACUCCAGAACUGCCUUUGAUACUGAAGAUCUUGAGUUCGGGAGAGGUGAGUGGAACUGCGAGUGUAGAGGUGAAAUUCGUAGAUAUUAGGAAGAACACCAGUGGCGAAGGCGGCUCACUGGCCCGGUACUGACGCUGAGGCGCGAAAGCGUGGGGAGCAAACAGG
rnacentral:rRNA from 1 species